CAGGUGUAGUUCAAUGGCAGAAUGUCAGCUUCCCAAGCUGAACACGUGGGUUCGAUUCCCAUCACCUG
rnacentral:tRNA from 1 species